rnacentral:rRNA from 1 species
GAUGAACGCUGGCGGCGUGCCUAAUACAUGCAAGUCGAGCGAACAGACGAGGAGCUUGCUCCUCUGACGUUAGCGGCGGACGGGUGAGUAACACGUGGAUAACCUACCUAUAAGACUGGGAUAACUUCGGGAAACCGGAGCUAAUACCGGAUAAUAUAUUGAACCGCAUGGUUCAAUAGUGAAAGACGGUUUUGCUGUCACUUAUAGAUGGAUCCGCGCCGCAUUAGCUAGUUGGUAAGGUAACGGCUUACCAAGGCAACGAUGCGUAGCCGACCUGAGAGGGUGAUCGGCCACACUGGAACUGAGACACGGUCCAGACUCCUACGGGAGGCGGCAGUAGGGAAUCUUCCGCAAUGGGCGAAAGCCUGACGGAGCAACGCCGCGUGAGUGAUGAAGGUCUUCGGAUCGUAAAACUCUGUUAUUAGGGAAGAACAAAUGUGUAAGUAACUAUGCACGUCUUGACGGUACCUAACCAGAAAGCCACGGCUAACUACGUG